rnacentral:rRNA from 1 species
UACGUAGGGGGCGAGCGUUGUCCGGAAUCAUUGGGCGUAAAGAGCGUGUAGGCGGCUUGGCAAGUCUGACGUGAAAGCCCGCGGCUCAACCGCGGAUUGUCGUUGGAAACUGCCUCGCUAGAGUCCGGAAGAGGAGAGCGGAAUUCCUGGUGUAGCGGUGAAAUGCGCAGAUAUCAGGAAGAACACCCGUGGCGAAGGCGGCUCUCUGGGACGGUACUGACGCUGAGACGCGAAAGCGUGGGGAGCGAACAGG